rnacentral:misc_RNA from 1 species
GAUGAAGAACGCAGCGAAAUGCGAUAAGUAAUGCGAAUUGCAGAAUUCCAGUGAGUCAUCGAAUCUUUGAACGCACAUUGCGCCCCCCGGCAUUCCGGGGGGCAUGCCUGUUCGAGCGUCUCCAGGACGAAUCCUCGCGUGAGUGAACGCGCGGUCGUGGCGGAGGUGGCGUGCCCGAGCAGGGCGGCCACCGCGCUGGAAUCCAUGGGCGGACGCCUGCCGCGUGGCCGAGCGUGAUAUGACGCAUUGGCGCUCGUGCGCGGCGAGGCUGCCAGCCCUGGCCCGUCUGUCGGGCGGGGUAGAUCACCACGUGGGAACUCCUCGAAUCAGGUAGGGAUACCCGCUGAACUUAAGCAUAUCAAUAAGCGGAGGA